rnacentral:rRNA from 1 species
GACGAACGCUGGCGGCGUGCUUAACACAUGCAAGUCGAGCGAUGAAGUUUCUUCGGAAAUGGAUUAGCGGCGAACGGGUGAGUAACACGUGAGGAAUCUGCCCUUCACUUUGGAAUAACUCCGGGAAACCGGAGCUAAUACCGGAUACGAACUCUGGCGGCAUCGCCGGGGUUGGAAAGUUUUUCGGUGAAGGAUGACCUCGCGGCCUAUCAGCUUGUUGGUGAGGUAAUGGCUCACCAAGGCGACGACGGGUAGCCGGCCGGAGAGGGCGACCGGCCACACUGGGACUGGGACCCGGCCGAGACUCCUACGGGAGGCAGCAGUGGGGAAUAUUGGGCAAUGGGUGAAAGCCUGACCCAGCGACGCCGCGUGCGGGAUGAAGGCCUUCGGGUUGUAAACCGCUUUCAGCGGGGAAGAAGCGAAAGUGACGGUACCUGAAGAAGAAGCACCGGCUAACUAUGUGCCAGCCGCCGCCGUAA